AAGUAUCGAUGACAAUAUAGUUCUAACAUCAAAAAGUAUUUCAAAGGGGUUAUUAAGGAUAACUAGCAAAUUUAUAAACAAAAGGAGGUUAUAUACCAAAAGCCACAUGUUAAUUAAAUAUAGCAUAUUUAAUUAAUAAAUAAAAAAUGUGGCGAUCCUAAGGGAAACCUUUAAUAUACAAACUUCCCGAAGUAAAUCAUUUUAGUAGGGAAAGGAAAGGAAAUCAACCGAGACUCCGAAAGUAAUGGUGAGUGAAAUCGGAAUAGCCAAAAUAAAUUUAAAAAUUGAAAUGUUACCAAAGAAGGUUUAAAAGUCCUGUAGAUUUCUAAAGUUAUUUCUUAAUAUUUUUAAUAUUAAGUAUAAAAAGUACGAUGAGAGUAAACUUGUCGGAAUAUAGGGGAACCAUCCUCUAAGGCUAAGUAUUAUAAAUUUAGCGAUAGUGAAAAGUACUGUAAAGGAAAAGUUGAAAUAGUAUGUAUUAAUAGACAUAAUGAAAUAGACUUGAAUUAGUAACUCUAUAAGCAGUCGAAAUUUAUAUAAAUGACGGCGUACCUUUUGCAUAAUGGGUCAGCAAGUUAAUAGGAGUAGCAAGGUUAAAAGCCUUAGUGAAAGCGACUGGACUAACUAGCAACACAAAAAUAAAAAUUAAUAGAACUGUCAUCAGUUAAAUUAUUAAAAUUUAUUCUUUGUUCCGCGUACGCGGGUGUAUUUAUUUAUAUUUUAUUAAAUAAAAAAUAAAAUAAACUUAUAAAUAGGAUAAUCCUUUAUUGUUUCAGUUUAUUUUUAAACUAGCAUUAAAGUUUAUUAUUUUCUAGAAAUAGUGGUGGAUAAGUUACUUCUAUUAGACCCGAAGCUAGGUGAUCUUCCCAAGACCAGAUUAUAAUGGAUCGAACGGGUGAAUGUUGCAUUAUUCUCCGAAGAGUUUUGGGAAGCGGUAGAAAAUGCCAAUCUGACCUAGUGCUAGCUGGUUUUCUACGAAACAUAUGUAAGUAUGACAUCUAUACAAAAUUUAUGGUGGUACAGCACUGAAUUCCCAACAAAGAUUAUGACAGUGAAUAAACAAAAUAUUUUUAUAUAAGUUUAUUAACUUCUAAUACUAAAGUUUAGGUUGAGGGGACCUCGAAAAUCUUACCAAUGGAAGAGAAACUCGAAAUGACAUAAAUUGAUGAUAGAUAUUCAGACUGCUCAUGAGAAAGUUGAGUAGUCAAGACGGAAACAGCCGAGAACACGAAUACAAGGUCCCAAAUGAUUAUUAAGUGAAAUUAAGGAAAUGACAUAUUGAAUGCAGCUGUAAAGUGAGCUUGGAAGUAGCUAUCUUUUAAUGACCGUAAUGUAACAACGUAGCAGCCCUUAGAAUGUUGUGCCUAAAAUUUAACGGGUCUAAAUAAUCAACCGAUAUCGUGUUUAUUUUGAAUACAUAAAAAAUAUUUUUAUUCAGAAUAUAGGUAGUAGAACAUUCAGUAAAACUUAAAAUAAAACAGUGUUUCAUUGUUUUUAGGUAACUGAAGAGAUAAUGCUGACAUGAGUAACGUAAAAAGAAGUUAUAAUACUUCUCGCCGAAUACGAAAGGGUUAUAAGGAAAGGUUAUACCGCCUUAUGUUAUUGCGGCCUCUAAGGACCAAAACCAAAGUUUUGGCUGAUGAGUAGAUAACUGAAAGUCCAUAUGUAAAUUAAUGGACCAGGAAAAUUAAGUUUUUAUAAUUUAAUUUAUUUUUAUAAUUUUUUAUAAAUAAAAUUAAUUUAGUCUACCGUACCCUAAACCGACACAGGUUCGUAGGUAGAGAAUACUAAGGCGUAGAGCUAAAAGUUGUUAAGGAACUCGGCAAGUUCUCCUGCAUUGUGUUCUGGGAAAACACAUAAGUGGGUAAAGGUGGCACAAAAUCGGAGGCCCCGACUGUUUACUAAAAACACAAUUCAGAGCAAUGAUUAAGAUAUUAGUAUUCUGAAUGAAAUUUGCCCAAUGCCAUUAAUAUAAGAGAGGUAAUAGUUAAUGUUACUAAUCGAAAGUCUGGUUAAUAGCGGUCUUAACUAUGAGGAUCCAAAGGUAGCAAAAUCAGUUGGCCAUUAAAUGUGGUCUGGUAUCAAUAGUGUAACGAUGGUCUCACUGUCUCUACAACUUGCUCAGUGAAAUUGAAUUACCCGUGCAGAUGCGGGUUGCCUCCAGGUGGACGGGAAGACCCUAUGCAGCUUUACUGUAGUUAGUUAUCAUGUUGAUCUACAACAACCUUGGUUAAUAGUAAUUAGGGAAGUCGAUAGACGAAAGAUGGAAUACCUCCUAACUAAGGUUGGGUCAAUGUUUACCUUAUAAUUUAUAAAAUUAGAGGGAGAGUUGACUAAUUGGCAGUUUGACUGGGGCGGUCGUCUUUGAUAAAGUAGCAAAGUACAUCCAAAGCAUUUUUAUAUUAAAAAAAUAUCACUUUAUCUCUGUAUUAUUUAGAUACAGAUAUCUUUUGUGAUAUACAAACUUAUAUGAUAUAGAUGAAAAAAAUUUACUUAAAAUUUUUUUUUUAUUUAUAUAAUUUUUUUUUAAAAAAAGGUAGAGCUAGACGAUUGUAUGGGGAACAAUCUACCAGUGAGAAAGGUAGUAAUCGGCGUAAUGGCGGAAAGCAUGCCUAACUGUAAGACCUAGAAGUCGCACAGAUACGUAAGUAGGGCAUAGUGACCCUUCGCUAUAUUAUGGAAUAGACGGGGAUCAAUCGAUAAAAGUUACGCUAGGGAUAACAGGUUAAUAGCUGGUGAGAGUACACAUUGUCCCGGCUGUUUGACACCUCGAUGUCGACUCAACCUAUCCUCCGGGGGAAGAAGCUUGGAAGGGUUCGGCUGUUCGCCGAUUAAAAGGUUACGCGAGUUGGGUUUAAUACGACGUGAGUCAGUAUGGUCCCUAUCUUCUGGAGGGAAAAAUAGUAAAAAGGGGCAGACCUUCUAGUACGAAAGGAUCAAUAGGCUGUGUUUCUCUAGUGUACCAAUUGUU
rnacentral:rRNA from 1 species